UUGCAUGUCAGAUUGUAAUUCCC
rnacentral:miRNA from 1 species